UACGGAGGGAGCGAGCGUUGUCCGAAGUUACUGGGCGUAAAGCGCGCGUAGGCGGGAAAUUAAGUGAGAAGUGAAAGGCUGGGGCUUAACCCCAUGCAGUGCUCCUUAUACUGGUUUUCUUGAGGGUGGUAGAGAGAAGUGGAAUGGCUGGUGUAGCGGUGAAAUGCGUAGAUAUCAGUCGGAACACCAGUGGCGAAGGCGGCUUCUUGGGCCAUUACUGACGCUGAGGCGCGAAAGCCAGGGGAGCGAACGGG
rnacentral:rRNA from 1 species